GAUGAACGCUAGCGGCAGGCCUAAUACAUGCAAGUCGAACGGGAUCCAGAUCAAAGCUUGCUUUGGUCUGGUGAGAGUGGCGCACGGGUGCGUAACGCGUGAGCAACCUACCCUUGUCAGGGGGAUAGCCCGGCGAAAGUCGGAUUAAUACCGCAUGACAUCAUUGAGAGGCAUCUUUCGAUGAUCAAAGAUUUAUCGGACAAGGAUGGGCUCGCGUGACAUUAGCUAGUUGGUAAGGUAACGGCUUACCAAGGCUGCGAUGUCUAGGGGCUCUGAGAGGAGAAUCCCCCACACUGGUACUGAGACACGGACCAGACUCCUACGGGAGGCAGCAGUAAGGAAUAUUGGUCAAUGGACGGAAGUCUGAACCAGCCAUGCCGCGUGCAGGAGGACGGCCCUAUGGGUUGUAAACUGCUUUUAUACGGGAACAAACGUCGGUACGUGUACCGGUCUGAGUGUACCGUAAGAAUAAGGAGCGGCUAACUCCGUG
rnacentral:rRNA from 1 species